CAGGUUCCAGAUGAGGCCUGCUGUGCAGUGCCAGCUCGAAAGUUGAAAGAAAAUUGAAGUAAACACAGAAAUCUUAUAUAAACUGAAAAUCAGUAAGGAAAAUCAAAGGUUUCCACAGAAGUAGAUAGGAGGAAUUACUUUUGGUGUGACCUCUUUAAAGGGCCUGAGAAAUAUGUGGAGUGGAUCAGUGGCCUUCAUUCUGAAUCAGCGUUUUAGUAUUUCAGAUAUUGGGCACAUAUUAUGGAGUUUUCUCCUGUUGCAAUAAUACAACACUAUCUAUGAGAGUGGUUUUUCAAAUUUAGAAGGCAGGUUGUAUUUUUGUAUGUGAGGUACAAAUCUGUGAGCUGUAUAAUUUCAUGCACAGUUAUGAGAUUGUUGGUAAAUAUUCAAAUAGAUUCAUAGAGACACUGAAGAAAAUCCAUUAGUACAGAAAAGAACAAUUCCAUUUUCAAGUUAUUGCCAGUAUUUGGUGUUAGAGGGAAUAUAUAUAUUAGCUGACACAGGCAGGAUUUUUAUUUUCAAAUGAUACUAGUAAAGUAAAAAAAAAAUAUAUAUAUAUUUUUGAUUCACUGAGGUCUUGAGACUUAGCUAAACCAAAUCCUCAACUUCAAUUUGAUGAUAUAUAAAGAUUUUCAAUUAUCUUUUAACUUAAAAUAGAAAAUGAUGGAUUCCAGGAGCCUAUGGAUUUUUAAAGUUAAGGUUAAGUUUCAAUUUAUUCACAAUUCAGACUCCUUAAUUGACCUGAGGAAGGCCAAAGUUGGCUUUUGUAAGGUAGCAUUACAAUCACAGUAGAUUUUUUUUAAUUUUUUUAUUUUUUUGUUGGAGUAUGGCAGUGUGAAUAGCCCUUGGAUCAGGAGCUGCUACCUAAUGAUCUAAGACAACUAAUAAAUGAUAAUUUCAUGAACAUGGCAAGCAACCUGCUUUCUGAUAUAAAGUUACUGUAUGUUAUGUUGUUAAAAUGUCCUGGAUGAUUGCAUUCAUUAAGCUUAAUGAGAAAAGGGGGAGGAAUUGGAAGAAAAUGGUAAAGCAGUGUAUGAGAUCUGAACAGUCUCCUCACAAACUGCAUAGAGAAUAGUUACAGUGGCAUGCUUCUGGUCUUCUGUUUAAUGCUGUAAGACUUGUUUUGCCAGAGGAGAGUACUGGUAGCUCUGAAAGCUUACGUGCACUUACAAAAUCAUGUACGAAGUAUGUGAAAAUUGAUUGCCGAUAGUUAUGGUCCCUUCAGGGUAUUAACAUAAGUCAGGGUAAUUGAAGAGGCAAGGGUACAGGACCUGUACAAAUGGAAGUGUCCUUUGACCCUUUUCUUCAGAGGUCCAGUUCUAAGUACCUGCACAACAGGAAAGAUGCAAACAUGCUGAUAGAAUGUGAUCAUAGUUGCAUAUUUUUAGAAAUUACAGGACUGUGCAUCAGCCUUCUUUCUAGUAUCUCUUUGAUUUUGAAAUUACCUGCAGAUAAGGUAUGGAAUUUCACAGACAACGGCCAAUAUUAUUUGACAGAGUGAACACAGAAGAAAAUGUAGUGCAGCUCUCUCUGAAGGGAUAAUAGGAAGUGUUUUGUGAAAAGAGAAAAUCUGGGAACAUUAUCAGUGUGGACAAAUUGGUCAGCCAGAAAGCUAUUAGAAAUAAAACAUCAAAGUAGUUAGUGGUAUAGUAGAAUACAAGGUUAAUUACUUUAAUUACAAUGAUUUUAAUUAUUAAAAGUAAUCAGCCCUGGGAUACUUAAAGAAGUACUUUUGCUAAACUUUUAAAAUUUUUUUUAAAAGGUUCUUACGUCUUGCUUCCAGCACAGCUUAUGUAUAAACACUUCAAAACACUCACUGUCUUGGGAUAUUUGCAUUACAAGGCACUUGAUGAAAUGGAUCUCAAAAAUUCUGCCCUCAUAAUGUUAUGAAUCAUAUUUUUAGAGCUGACUUCAUUGUAUUUCUCCAGGACAGAUCAAGGAGACAAAAACGUUUACAGUAGCAUGAGAUUUCUGAAUCAAAGCCUAUCUUGAGGCAUAAUUAAAGGAGGUAGUCUAAUUAUCUGAAGUCAAAACUGUAUCAUCCUUUGCCCUUAAUGCACAGAAGAUAACUUAGAUAACAUUUAAUUAGAAGAAAAGCGUGGAUUAAUACUUAUUUGAUAUCCACAAUAGAAGGUUCCCUCAGGUGCUAAGAUAUUGUCCAGUGAAUUGAGAGCAAAUAUUUAGCCCAUAUCUCCACCAAAAUGAAUCAUUUGUAGCAAACAGUUAGUCAAGUUUCUGCUUUCUGCGUCAAGGAUAUUGUUUCUUCAGGCUUGGCAGUUCUCUAAUGAAAAUAUUCAAGUACAGAAGUGUAAGUGCUACUGUUAUGCUGUAAAUGAAAGGAUUAAAUCACAUGGUUCUAUUUGCUUUCUUGAUUAGAUGGAUGGUACCCACAGAUCCAAUGUUGUGAUAUUCCUUUUGGACUUAGAUUUCUGUUAGCAUUUAUGAAAGUAAAC